rnacentral:rRNA from 1 species
GAUGAACGCUAGCGGGAGGCUUAACACAUGCAAGUCGAGGGGCAGCACGAGGUAGCAAUACUUUGGUGGCGACCGGCGCACGGGUGAGUAACGCGUAUGCAACCUACCCUGUACAGGGGGAUAACCCGGAGAAAUUCGGACUAAUACCCCAUAAAGAUAUUUAGAGGCAUCUUUGAAUAUCUAAAGUUCCGGCGGUACGGGAUGGGCAUGCGUAACAUUAGCUAGUUGGUAAGGUAACGGCUUACCAAGGCAACGAUGUUUAGGGGUCCUGAGAGGGUGAUCCCCCACACUGGUACUGAGACACGGACCAGACUCCUACGGGAGGCAGCAGUGAGGAAUAUAGGUCAAUGGGCGCAAGCCUGAACCAGCCAUCCCGCGUGAAGGAAGAAUGCGCUAUGCGUUGUAAACUUCUUUUCCAGGGGAAUAAAAUUUUGUACGUGUACGGAAUUGAAGGUACCCUGGGAAUAAGCAUCGGCUAACUCCGUGCCAGCCGCCGCGGUAAGAC